rnacentral:lncRNA from 1 species
UAGCUUUGCUUUCUUCCUCUGCAGUGCAUUUUCUUUUCAUGCUUUUGGAACUCCAAUAUAUAAUCUUCCUAGUCCUCUUUUGUACCUGGUGUUUUACCUCUUAAAGGUCUUYACAGCAAGGUUGAUAUCUCUAGUAUCCUGGCUGGAAUCCAGUGCUGACAGAAGCACGUCAGAUGACCUAAGAAGGACAUGUGGAUCUCCGAGAAGUUGCUCUCAGUCUCAAAGAUUUUUUGAGUUAUCCUCGGAAAACCACAUAAUCUUUCCUGACUCCACCUAUCUGUUGUAA